AAAUAACCGGAUGAGAACUACAAUCGCGUUUCGCUUCAAUAAUUACAGAUAUUGCUUUUAUUGUUAAUUACUCGCCAUAAUUUUAAUUGUAUUUUUAAUUAUCUGAUGUAUCGAUGCAUCGAACAUGAAACGUUUUCAAGGAGGCUUCUAAAUUCGUAUCUACAAUAUUCUCAUUCAAUUAUGUAUGGAGAGCUAUUUGUAAGAAAGGUUAGAUCGAAAGAGGUUCGAUACAAUAUCCCUCGAGACAUGUAUCGAGUUUAACGAGCGUUUCUCAUCCGUUCUUUUCAGAAAUAUCGAUACCGCGCAAAGUCGAAUAUGCGUAUAUACAUCGAAGAAUCGAUCGAGAUAAACUAUCGCGAUAAACAUAAACGCAAUAUGGACGCGUCGCUUGAUUUCGGCUCUUUCACGUGGUUUUCUUUACGAACGUUAUAAAUUUUAUCCUCGCAAAGAAUUUGGAACAUGAGUAACGCACACUCAAGCUGGUCGGAAAUGAGUGUUGUGUAAAAAGUUUCGUUUUCUUGCGCUUGUGCAAGUCGUCCGCUUUCGAAAAAUCAAGAGAAAAGAAAGAAAAGGAUUCUAACCUAUUUCCAUUUGCUUUGACGAAACGUUGGGUGCGCGCAUACACGGUCACGUGGUUCGCUAAAUAAAAAUAAAGCAUCUUGAUUCGAUUACUUGUUUCGCCGAUAAUUCGUUUCAUAAUUCUUAGCAUAAAAAUCGUGCUAUAUUAUGUAAUCAUGCGAUAAUGGAUAAUCGAGAAACUAUCAAAAUAUCGAUAAAAGAAUGAUGAAAAUCUUGGAUUCAGUGGCUUUAAGCAUAACAAAAACGAUUUCGUAUUUAUCUACGUAUCUUUACGAAUAAUAAAUUCGAUUCGGUGAAUGCAAUUUUUAAGAUGGCGAACGAAACAAACCUUUCCAAUUGUAUCCUAAUAUAUGGGAGUAUAGUUACGGGAAAUUUCUUUCGGAAGAAUUGCAAUAUUGAAGUUUAUCGCAAGAUUUUCCAUAACGGAGAAACAUAACAGAGAUAGAAAAAGAGGUACGGAUGAAGAUAAAAGUGGAGAAAGUACGAGAAAAGGAAAAUUGCGGAAAAUCUUACUUCUAAGAUUUCGUGACCCCGAAGAAGUUAUCCUUGAAGGUAGCGAGGUGGAAGAACAAAAAAGUAAAGAUGUUCGAAGAAAUCUUUUGACGAGAGGAAUGAGAAUAAGUUUGGAAGAAGAAAAGAUUUAUUUUAAAAGAAGCAUACAUACGUUGAACAGAAUGAGGUGUCGAUGAUAUAAACUGUUACGCAAGUGUAAUUUUUAAAUUUCACCGUUAAAUUAUAUCGGUAAUUCAAUCUCGGUCUAUUUCGCAAUUAAACUGUUUUCGAUUUCGUUUUGCAUACCUCUUCCUUCUUUACCUUUUUCAACGCGAUAGACAGAAUAAAUGGCAAUCGCGUUCAUUGCAGCAGGCGAGGCAAAUGCUUUUUUGCUCUUUUCGUGCUUCCUCGACUCGAGGAAAUGGUGGAAAACAUUUACAGCUUCGAAAUGGAAAUAAAAAAAAAAAAAGAAAAGAAAAAAAAGGAAGAAAGAAAGACUAAUCGAGAAUCCAUCUCUCGAUCUGGAAAACCUUUGCUCAUUUCUUUCCCAUUCUCCUUUACUUUUUCUUCCCUUUCAUUGCACAGCUGAUUCCUCCUGUUUUAUUUAUCUUUUUCCUUCUACAUUUUCCUAGGUUAAGAAAAAACUAAGAAUUUUCGAUCGAAUUUUUUUCCUUCAUUCCUUAUGCGAAUAUUUAUUUAAAGAAACUUAUUUGAAUGAAAUUAAUCUAGAAAAUCGCCGAUAUUCGAAAAACUAAAAACUUUAAGCCAGUUCCUUCCGAAAAUGCAAGUUUCUAUUCACGAUACAAUAUCGUUGCAAAUACCUUGGCGAGUAUCUUGCUCGAGUUUUUUCGUUGACCUCUUUUCCAAGAUCUCGCCUCUUAAAAUCGUAUACUCGCGGGAAAAAAUGGCGAUUGCGUUUGCGUCGAACCAAACCUAACCUAACCAAAAAUACGUUUAUAGACUCCCGCACGAUCGAGGAGAGAAUUCCAUUUUCAGUCUGGAAUUUAAUUCAUCGUGGAAUUUACGGGUGGAUUUGUUGCGCGAGAAAGGAAGAGACUGAUCGAGAGGUGGUUGCUCUGCCUAAUUAAAGAAUUCGCUAUUGCCGCGAGAGGAGAAAAUCCAUCCACGAGAGGAAAAAAAAUUGAUAGUAUCCAAGAGACGUUUUAAGAAUCCAGAAUAAAUUGUCAGAGGAGAGCUUGGAUGGGAAGAAAAAGAGAGGAAGAGAGAAUGUAAAGCAGAAAAGAGGCGAACAAAAGGAGGCGGCAUUUGACUACGUCCUAUGUAAUUUCCUACAAGAAUUACUUUCAAUUAAGUCCUUUGUGCCAUACCGAUCGAUCCGCUCGCCAAUUCCCUUCAACUUAAUUAGACUAACGAUUUUUCAGGUCCGAAUAUACGAAGUCUUGAACACGUGAAAAUGGCGUCUCCCCGCGUUUUCGAACAAUUUCUUCCAUCUUUCCCUGCCGAAUCGUGAACUCGCAACGCGCAGAAAGAACAAAUCUCGCGAGCGAAACUGUUGGAGAGGGGAGAAGAAGUACAUCCAUCUUAUCUGUCGAUUCGCUGUGCUAAAUGAAUUCGCAAGUGUAAACGUUAGAUAAAUUGGCGGGUCACGUUGCGGGAUCAGGAAAGGAAUCGCUGAACAGAAUAGGAGGAGGAGAACGGAGGGGGAUCGGGAGACGAGUACAGAUUUCAAUCCUUUCCUAUUUUCCCGAACGGAACGAAUUCCUCGAUUCAUCCUUGAAAAAUUAUUAUUGGACGAAUGAUGGAUCGAGAGAGUCGACUUCUUUCGAACGACCUAUAUGAAAUUGGAACGGAACUUUCUUCUUUGAGGGGUGAUGAAAUCAAGAAGAGGAGGGGUUCGUAGGACGAUCUAAAUAUUCUUCAGAAGAAUUACAGUCUCGAGUUAGAAACUUUUUUUCUUCGAGCUCAAUAGAACUGGAUGAUUAUGUUCUUUUUGAAGCUCGAACGAAAUUCUCUCCUUUCGAGCGCUCACAGAACGAUCCAAAUCCGAAUGGAAAAAUUUUUUUCGAGGAAUUAUGAUCUAAAGUUAGAAACUUUUUUCUUUGAGACGCUCAUAGAACGAAGAGUAUAAAGAUUUUCUUCCGUCAAAUAAAAAAUCGAAAGGAGGCGUUCAUAAAAUCAUCCAAAUAAUUGGGAGAAUUUUUUCGAAGAAUUAUGAUUUAAAGUUAGAAACUUUUUUUUUCAGGCAUUCAUAAAAGGAUCUAAAUGAUUAAAAGAUUGUAUUCUUUCGAAGAGUUAUGCUUCGAGACUGCGAGGAAAUUUUCAUUCGUGGGAUAAAAUCAAAAAGAAGCGUUCAUAAAAUGAUCCAAAUAAUUGGAAGAAUUCUUUCGAAGAAUUAUAAUUUAAAGUUAGAAACUUUUUUCUUUGAGACGCUCAUAGAACGAAGAGUAUAGAUAAAAAUUUUCUUCCGUCAAAUAAAAAAUCGAAAGGAGGCGUUCAUAAAAUCAUCCAAAUAAUUGGAAGAAUUUUUUCGAAGAAUUAUGAAUUAAAGUUAGAAACUUUUUUUUUCAGGCAUUCAUAAAAGGAUCUAAAUGAUUAAAAGAUUGUAUUCUUUCGAAGAACUAUGCUUCGAGAUUGCGAGGAAAUUUUCAUUCGUGGGAUAAAAUCAAAAAGAAGCGUUCAUAAAAUGAUCCAAAUAAUUGGAAGAAUUCUUUCGAAGAAUUAUAAUUUAAAGUUAGAAACUUUUUUUUUUCGAAGUGCUCAUAGAAUGAUCUAAUUAACUGGAAGACUAUGUUCUUUCGAAGAAUGAAGGGCAGAACGAAACUUUCUUCUUUGGAACGCUUGUAAGAACGAUCUAAACGAUUGGAAGAGUACGUUCUUUCGAAAAGCUAUAAGAACAUUUUCUUUCGUGCAAUAAAAUUAAAAAGAGUGCUCAUAAAACGAUUUAAAUGAUUGGAAGAUUAUAUUCUUUCGAAGAGCUAUAAAGAAAUUUUCUUCUGUGAAAUAAAAUUAAAAACAGGGGGUUCAUAAAACGAUCCAAAUAAUUAGAUUAUUAUGUUCUUUCGAAGAAUGAAGCUCAAACGAAAUUUUCUUCUUUUCAUAAAACGAUCCAAACGAUUGAAAAAGAAUUUUUUCGAGGAAUUAUAAUCCAAAGUUAGAAACUUUUUUCUUGGAAACGCUCAUAGAAUGAUCCAAAUAAUUGGAAGAAUUCUUUCGAAGAAUUAAAAGUCCAAAGUUAGAAACUUUUUUCUUUCAGGCGUUCAUAGAACGAUCUACAUUUUAUUAGAAGAGUAUGUUCUUUCGAAGAACGAAAGUAGAAAGAAAUUUGGAACGAUCUAAACGAUUGGAAGAGUACGUUCUUUCGAACAGCUACAAGAAAAUUUUCAUCCGUAAAAUAAAAAGCGUUCGUAAAAUAAUUGAAAUAAUAAAUUUCCAAGAAUAAUAAUCUAAAGUUGGAAACUGUUUUCUUCUUCUGCGGUAAUAAAAUGUGUGCUCCUUCCUUGGACAAAACGAAAAAAAAGCGAUUUAGAUAACGCGCGGCUAAUACGAUUACGUCGCAAUGGUCGAGACACGUGAGUUUAUUGGAAACCCAAAAUGGUAUGUCGUUCUGUCAAAGCCGUACGAAAUUCCCGCGGCAAAAAAACACGGCUAUUGCUCGAAUAUUUCGUGGCCGAACGCUAUGACGGGCGAAGAAAAUUUUCUCGCGAAUGCGGCCAAAUAUUUAGCGAUGGAUGCGCCUGGAGGAAAGAUGGCGCGAGAGAUGCGGGCUCGUGCUAUUUCCAAUUUAGAGUCGUCGCGCCCUCCUUCCUCCCGCAUAUUAACUUUGCCAACUUAAACGCGAAACUCUGAAUGCUCGAAACGCGUUCCACUCGAUCCGCGGUCUAAACGAUUUCGACGAGCCACGGUUCAAAGAUUCUGCUUUCGCCCCGUCGUGAUUAGAUUCCCGUGUAAAUAAUUAACACUCUGCAUCCGGUAAACGAUAAACUCGCUAUCUAUGGAUAGAAACGGCAAGAAAAAUCGUGGGUGUGAGACAGAGAAAUUCGGAUAGAAUUUCGCUUCGCGUUUUCUCGGCUUAUUUUUUUCGUUGCUAAGUAAAUUUUUUCGAGGCUCUUAUUCUUUUUUUUUUUUUCUUUUAUUUUAUUCUUCUAUUUCUAUUGUCGCUGUUGGACUUUGUUCUCACGAGAUCGGCGUUAUAACGGAAAAAAAAAAAAAAGAAAAGACUCGACCUUUGUCACUAAAUGACUAGAUAAUCCUAUUUGAUACUAUUAAAUAUGUUACACUUUGCGUAAUAAAUAUUGAUAAGAUCGAUAUCAUUAUCUAAUCCGCGUGCUAAUGUUAUACACGCGUUGAUGCCAACAACAGCGCGCGUAAUUGUAUAUUGAGAAUAAUCUAUUUCAGUGUCGUUCGCCAAUCUUUCUCCACGAAAUUCUAAAAUACCUAAAAAAAAAAAAAAAAAAAAAAAAAAUUACAAUUGAGCUUGAAUUCUUAUUGUAUCCAUUCUUUUAUUUCGAAUUUUUUACCUUCGUUUCUCGAAUUUUCACCCACACAGAUGUUUUUUAAUCGUUUCGAAGCAAUUCGCAACCGGAGACGUAAAUUUUAUAUCUCGAUAUCUCUAUCCUUCUAUUCUCGACUCGACCACACGACAUCCUUUUCACUUAUCCAACCUUCUCUCUCUCUCUCUCUCUCUCUCUCUUUCCUCCCACUUUGACGGACGUCGAUUAAUUCUUCGAUUUAACUGACAGGUGGAAAAAAACAAACAAAUUGAGAGGUAUGGAUAAAAUAAAAAAAAGAAGGGA